GCUGAUUCACUAAAAGCGCGGUAUAGCAGACCAUAUACCACGGGUAUGACAAAAAUAAUAUUUCUACUGUUCUAAUGACAUUGGUAAUCAGUUUAUGAUGUCAAUAAGGCACCUCAGGGGGUUGUGGUAUAAUGGCCAUAUACAACACCUCCUCAGGCCUUAUUGCUGAAUUAUAACACCUCCAUUGUGAUCAUACUGUAAUAGACCUACUUACUGUAAAAAUGUUUGUCCAUGAUGAGGCUUAUUUCGUUUGAAAAAUAAAGUAUGCCUACCACAUACCCAACAAUUUGCAGGUGCAGCCAGAGGUGAAAAAGUCUAUGUAACAGAGAGUGGGUCAGGUCAGGGAUGCUGCAGCAUCGGAGGGAAUCUGACUCUCAUGGCCUGUUUUCAUCUGGAGAGACCUCCGACAAUGACUGUGAGAUGGGGGCAAGUUGUGGAGAAGUUGGCGUAGUGUGUUUGUGUGAGACUGGACCCUGCACACUAUACUCUGAAGCACACACACAGACACCGGACACACUGAAAUGUGAACACUGUGGGAAAAACAGGGUAGUGAUAACCAGAUACUCAGAGGGAUAUGGCACAGAGGAAGAGUGUGCCCUGUCCGAUCCUCAGGGCGACAGCGAUGCAGACGCUGACAUCGAGGACACAGAUUGCAGACUACAGGAGCCAGGUUCUCUCCAGCGAAUCAGUUCGCGGAGACGGAAGCGACCACGAAUAGCACGGCAGGACACCACGGAGAGUGAGGACGAUGGGGGGAGGAGUCACAGGAGUCACCGCUGGAACCUCAGACUCAGUCCCCACCGCGCUCACAACAGAACCUUACUAGAGGAAAGUGUAUCACAGGUCAGACCGUUAGUGAUCUGUCGGCCCAGUAUCAGAGGAGACGGUCAGGGGCCUCCAGUCGAAGGGCCCAGAACUGGCCC
rnacentral:lncRNA from 13 species